rnacentral:rRNA from 1 species
UACGGAGGAGGCAAGCGUUAAUCGGAAUUACUGGGCGUAAAGCGUGCGCAGGCGGUUGUGCAAGACAGAUGUGAAAUCCCCGGGCUCAACCUGGGAACUGCAUUUGUGACUGCACGGCUAGAGUGUGUCAGAGGGGGGUAGAAUUCCACGUGUAGCAGUGAAAUGCGUAGAUAUGUGGAGGAAUACCGAUGGCGAAGGCAGCCCCCUGGGAUAACACUGACGCUCAUGCACGAAAGCGUGGGGAGCAAACAGG